rnacentral:rRNA from 1 species
UACGUAGGGCGCAAGCGUUGUCCGGAAUUAUUGGGCGUAAAGGGCGCGUAGGCGGUCUGACAAGUUGGAAGGUAGAAAUCCCCGCGACUUAACGUGGGAACUGCCUUCCAAACUGUUUGACUUUGAGUCCGGGAGAGGUGAGUGGAAUUCCCAAGUGUAGCGGUGAAAUGACGUAGAUAUUGGGAGGAACACCAGUGGCGAAGGCGGCUCACUGGACCGGAACUGACGCUGAGGCGCGAAAGCGUGGGGAGCAAAGCAGG